rnacentral:rRNA from 1 species
AGCGUAGACGGUGUGGCAAGUCUGAUGUGAAAACCCAGGGCUUAACCCUGGGACUGCAUUGGAAACUGUCUGGCUCGAGUGCCGGAGAGGUAAGCGGAAUUCCUAGUGCAGCGGUGAAAUGCGUAGAUAUUAGGAAGAACACCAGUGGCGAAGGCGGCUUACUGGACGGUAACUGACGUUGAGGCUCGAAAGCGUGGGGAGCAAACA